ensembl:lncRNA
UGAUAUUAAUGUCAUUUAAAAUGUGUUAUUGUGAGUUCUUGUGCAGUUAAAUCCAAAGAGAAUGAAUGAGUGUGCAAUGUAUAUGGAGAAAUCAGUCUAUAUGUUACAGUAUGUCCCUUUAAGUAAAAUGAUAGCAGAAUACUGUAGUGUCUUUGGGUUUGGGGUGGUUGCUGUGUACUAGCCGGUGUUGCCUGCAGGCAGUCCUCGGUUGCCCAGGAAACACAGAUGGUGGAUGAAGGGCGCGCAUACAAAAGACCCUAACCUGUGGCAGCAGCUGGAGACCGAGACCACUGAUUAAUGCAGGUCUUUGCAGUCCCGCUUAGUCAAAGACGUCUCUGUUCUCUUUAAUACCUCCCAUCCAUUUUCUUUGUCCCGGGGCUUCCGUCUUCCACUUUAUCCUGUUUUCCCCGGACUGGCCUCCCAUCAGUGCGCAGCUGUUGUUGGCACUCCCACAUCUGCUUGUCUCGGCUCGGCAGCCAUGUAGACGACGCUCAGCCGCGGCUCGUGUUAGUGCGUAGCGUGUAAGGUCCAGGGGGCGACCAGCCUUUCACUGCGGCCUAAUCACUGCACACACACGGCGUGUAUUUGCCGGUUCGGCAGCUUGCCCUCAGCAUGGAAGAGGAAGAUGAAAGAGAAGAAGAAGAAGAAGAAGAAGAUCUUUUCGCACCGUUUGAUGCUGCGGGACAAGUGCAUGUGGAACCCGGGAUCACUGGAAACCUUGUGGUCGGUGUCACUGGAUUCAUCUACAGAGCUGCUGACUUGUCACCAGUCUGGACACUGGGAGGAUCCACAUGGGAACCAACAGCAGGACAGGUUAUCUUGACACCGAUGAGAAAGGAAUCCGGGGCUCGCGUUGGACCUCGCGAGCGACAUGGCUCCGUCGCCCCCUGCUGUGCUGCACGCAGACUGUGACCGAUGCAUGGUGCCAUCACCGCUCUUGUGUACCCUCAGAAGGAGAGGAUCCAUGUCCAAGUGUUUCCCCACUGAGAGCCACUUCUGCUUUUGUGUAUCAGUGAAAAGGGCGUUGAAGAGUUAAAAAUGCCACCAUUGCUUUGUAGUCCGUGGCGGCAUGAUCAGAUUUAGCAAGGUGGUGUUCUGAGUCCAAAUUAAUUUGCUGCAGUGUACCCUCACUUUCAUGUUUUUUUUGCCUGAUCAAAAACAAAGACACUGCAGCCGUAGAACACCUCUCAUGCUUUUUCUCUUCAGCUGCCAUGUGCACUGACCUCUUUGCUCCGUGACCUUCUUUACUCUGUCUAACGCUCUGAACACUUCUCUCCGUAUAAGACACUUUAAAUUCACUGGAAGUAAUGUUUUACUUUGUGUUAACUUCUCACCAAAGCUAGCUUGUACUUAUGCCAGAUCCAGUAGUGUAUUAUUCUGCUUCAGUGUGUGAGUUAUAUAUAAUAUAUAUAUAUAUAUAUAUAUUAUAGUUGUCUCAAUAUGUGACAAUAUGCUCUUUGUUUGUCUUUAAACUUCUUAAUUCGGGUGUGAUACCAGUUACUUUUAAUAUACUAUAUAUAGUGCGUAUACUCUGUGCAUUUUUACUGUAGAGUGUGAGUGCACGUGUGUGUGUGCAUGUGCUCUAUUUGUGUGUGUGUGUGUGUUUGUUCCUGUACGUGUGCAUGUGUCUGUCUGAUGAAACACAUGGAGCUACUUGCUGCUUUUCAGUGGUUUUCUUAUUGCUGCACAGAUUUAAAAAUGCCCACAGUUCUUCUUUUAGCACAUUGGAUGUACCGGACAAAGGAUAAAAACAUAUUUACGAAUGAUUCUCAGCAUUUGUUACAACCUCAUUGAAGUACCAGUUCGGUGGGGGCUCUUGCGAUUUAGACAAUCGCAGGAAUGUCGCCGGAAAUUAAUGGUGUGUAGUUUUUCUAAAUGAUGUCUGCUGGCAUGAAUUAAACUGUCCCGAUGCCUUCAGCCCCAUCAUCUGAUACUUCAGCAAAUUACAGCAAAUGCUAAUAAUUAUGUGCAAAUAGCUUUUUUUACCCACGUCUGGAUUCUACUAACCGUAUCUGACUAAUAUCUAACAAUACUAAUAUCUGCUAACAGUCGGAUGAUUACUAACCUGUACUCUGAAUGCUGAUGGCCGGCCUUGUUCUCUCUAACACACUGACUAACCCUCUGCUUUAUGCCCGCAGUCCGAUGCACACACACUCCUCUCUCACGAUCCUGCAAUCCUUCUUCUAGAAAUCACCAGCUGAGAUCAAUUAUUAAAGGAGAAAAUCAAUGAAAACUGGUAAAGUGAGCAAACCAAGAAGGGUUUCAGGACUUGGGAAGGGAACUGUUAUUAACCACUAGAUAAAAAAAAAAAAGAGGAGCAGAAACAGCUGCUGAUAUCAAACUGGGUUGACCACAUACUUUAGAGGAAUCCUCACAAAACCGAUCUGAUCCCAAAUGACAUCAUCGCACCUCACGGGCUAAAUUCACAUCUUCAGAGACCGUCUUUGUGUCUCUGCCUGCGCGCUGUGUGGUCAACCCUUACAGGUGAGUGCCUGGCAUCAACAAACCUCAUACUAACUUACUAUGAUACUAACUGUGGUGAGGCUGUAAAGGCCCACCUGUUGCUCUUACUAACAUCUGUGUUCUUUCUGACUGAAACACCCUGAUGUCUGUAAUCAAAUGAUUCCCUCUCUUUUGUUAAUCUUUAAUUAAAUCAAAGCAUGCCUCGUGGUACUAGAGAUGCUUACUGAAAAACUUUUAUACGAAACGUCUUCUAGUGCCACGAGUGUAUGCUUUCUAGCAAUGGGAAGUUCUGUGUCAGUGACAUGCUCAACGAUGAUCCUUCUAAACAAGCUGGACAGGUUUUGUUCUCUCAACAAGCUACUAACAUCUCCUAAAGUUAAGUUAACAGGAACUAACCAACAAGCUUUCUUUAGCUCUCUGCAAACUAACAAACUAACAUACUAAUAAACUAAUAUUCUAACAGAAACUAACUAAAAUCACUUACUUUGUGCUGAGUGUCAGAAUCAGUGAAGCACCCUGAUUGUGAGGAGUUGCAUCACUUACUGAAUGUACUAACAACAUGACGUUUUUAAGAGUUACUGAAUGUGUCUGUGUGAGAGCACCGAAGAGAGAGAGAGAGAGUGUGUGUGUGUGUGUGUGUUUUCUUCUUCUUUCAAACUAUUUAACAUACCAAUGCAGAUUAUAUUUGAGAGCAGUUACAUUUAUCCACAGCUCCUCGUUCAGCUGAGCACCAGGAUAUAAAACACACCUUGAACCUCUC